ACGACCCAACCCGUUCUCUAAUACACACGCGUAUAAUCAAUCAGCUAGAGACCCCCAAAUCCCAAAUCUCUAAACUCCACGAGCAUUAUUCUUCUUCUCCGAAGAACACGCAAACAAGCCCCAAAAUUUCAUCUGAAUCCAUGGUGAGUGAGCAUCAAUCCAUGACCAACGCGUCCCUUUAUCUCACCUCUUGCCGUUACUAACGGCUCCGGACACCAAUAUUCCCUCUCUUCUCACUCGCUCAUUUUAGACCUAUCUCACGACUGGAAGAUUCUGAAGAUCAAAUGCUUCAAAACUGUCAGGUGUUAGAUUGUUUUCACUCAAUCCGAGCCCCACAUUCAUCAAGGAUUGGUCUCCAAAAGAGGCUUUAUCCAAUUUUUUGAGGGGACUCGACUAAAAAGUUUUAGAAAAAAAAUGUUGAAAGCAUUCUGGAAUUUAUGGUUUUCUGAGUUUGCUUCUUUCUUCUGGUCGAGUUCAUUAAAUGUUUAAGAGAAAGAUAUAUAUUUUUUUACUGUGUGAAUCCUGUUUUGAGUUCUAAAGAGAUGAAAAGAUGAAUUGAAGCUCGAGUUUUAUAUUCUAUUGUUGUUCUGUUGAGUUUCUACUGGACCUCUAUACGAUUUGGAGUCGAGAGUUGUAUUGUCGGGUUUAUAAUUGUUAUAAAAGAAAAUUUGCAACUUCAAGUGCCACUUUCCUCUCUUUAUUUUUAUGGGACUCUGUUUUAUUUCAGUGUUUUUUGAGAUAUGAGAUUCAAUAUUUGGUGGUUUGUUUGUGUUAUGAUAGAACUUCUUGCUUUCUAGAUCAGUUCGCAAUGGUGGUAUGUGUUUGAGUAUUUUCAGUUAGUAAAAAUCUAUUUUAGUAGUUGUCUGGCUCGAAGUAUAUUCUGAAUCAAUAUGUAAUUGCUUUCAAAUGAAUGACGUGUUCAGUUUCUUUUUGUGAUCUUCUUUACAAUACGCUCCGGUGUUCGUGAUGACUUAAUAGAGCCAUAAGGUUCAGAAAGUUAAUUAAUAGUUCUGUAGCUGUUAUAUUGGAAAUGUGUGGUCGACCUAGAAUGGUUUUCAUUGUUAACUGUAGUGUUCUAAUAGAGGAUUCAGCACACAAUUAGUCAAUUGCUAUGCUAAGGCCUACCUCAAAUCAAUUGGUUCAAAUAUACUAACAGUAGAGUUGCUGGAAGUUUUCUAUGUGUUGAUCGAUA
rnacentral:lncRNA from 1 species